AGAGGAAGUUACAGGAAUUCUUGGUUUUAAUAUUUUUGGUUGAAACUAUUUCAGUGUAACCCCAAAUAAAGGACUACAAUUUAAAAAACGUGACUUUGUUCAUAAAAUAAACAAAGAAUUAACAGAAAACAGCAAAGACUUUGAUCAUAUUUUUGGUAUCACAAUGGACAUCAGAAGACGUUAUCUUGGCUUUACGACUUACAGAGACAAAUCUAUGGUGUGUACGCCAUCUGUCUGGCUCGUCUGCAGAGAAAACAAGCAAAGAGAAAGUAAACAGAGAGAAGCAACAAAGAAAUACGAGAGUACACAAUCAAAGACAAAGAAAGAUGAGGAGUAGGCGGGGAAACGGAGGCUGACUUUCUAUCCACGGAUCUUAACCAGCCGUGAGAUUGGACUGGAAUACCAAAACCAGAUACCUCCCCCCGGAGUUCUGUCCACCUCCAUCUUUACCCCUCAUCACCACGGAGGAGGUUGCCAAGGCAACGGAGCUGGAGGUCAGAGGCCAGGUGUGUUGAAGGGUGGGGCAGGUGGGUGGCUGAACGCGGUUCCAUCUGGAUGAGUGACCUGACAUAAUCAGAUAGAAGUCGCACUCCACAAGUGGGAGCGAGAAAAUGCUAAGCUGAUUAGUGAAGCGUGAUGGCGACUGGAAUCAUCUAUCAACCUUCCUUGAUAUUGACGUUUACAGCAGUGAACAUCAUUGAGACAAAGCCACUGAGGGUGUCGUAAGACAAUAAGAAUCAACGCUUUCUGGUGUUCUGCCACACAAUAACUUUGCUCGCACAUUAUCCUUACUAUUUAUGGUCACUGUUACAAACGUCUCUUACAAAAUCCCAGGACGGCUCAUGAUAGUCAAAUCAACCCGAAAAUAAAACGUAUACCGUAAUUUUCGGAUUAUAAAUCGCAGUUUUUUUCAUGGUUUGGCUGGGGGUGCGAUUUAUA